UUACUUUCUGAAGUUGAUAGAUUGGAAAAAGGCUCUCUCUCGUUUUCAAGACAAAGAAUUUUCUCUUUCUUUUUUGCUUUGUUUCGGUUUUCUCUCUUGGACUUGUUGAGUGACUUGCCUUCCGUAGGCUUUCAUUGCCCUUUUUGGGUAGGGAAAGGCUCUUCUCCGAUCUUGUUCUCCCUCCCCAUCUCGGGUUGGAUUGUAAACAACCUUUUGUUUUGGUCUUUGGUUUUCAAAUCUUGAAGCUUCACAAAGAGAGGACCUGUAGAAGAUUUGCGUGUGUUUUCAUCGAUCGAAGGAGUCUCCAAGUCGACAUGGUUGAUUGCUUGGUCCUGCCCCAUGGGAGGGUGCAUGUAGCUACUGUAAGGAAGGUUACCUCAGGGGUGGCCUAGGGGUAUGUGAUCGUAG
rnacentral:misc_RNA from 1 species